UACGUAGGGUGCAAGCGUUGUCCGGAAUUAUUGGGCGUAAAGAGCUCGUAGGCGGUCUGUCGCGUCGGCUGUGAAAUCCCGAGGCUCAACCUCGGGUCUGCAGUCGAUACGGGCAAACUAGAGUAUUGCAGGGGAGACUGGAAUUCCUGGUGUAGCGGUGAAAUGCGCAGAUAUCGGGAAGAACACCGGUGGCGAAGGCGGCUCUCUGGACCUGUCCUGACGCUCAGGCGCGAAAGCUAGGGGAGCGAACAGG
rnacentral:rRNA from 1 species